rnacentral:rRNA from 1 species
UACGUAGGGGGCGAGCGUUGUCCGGAAUCAUUGGGCGUAAAGCGCGUGUAGGCGGCUCGAUAAGUCCGGUGUGAAACCUUGGGGCUCAACCCCAAGCCUGCACUGGAUACUGCCGAGCUAGAGUCCGGGAGGGGAGAGCGGAAUUCCUAGUGUAGCGGUGAAAUGCGCAGAUAUUAGGAAGAACACCGGUGGCGAAGGCGGCUCUCUGGAACGGUACUGACGCUGAGACGCGAAAGCGUGGGGAGCAAACAGG